rfam:Jeotgalibacillus malaysiensis strain D5, complete genome.
AAUCCUUUUAAAUGAAGUCCAGAGAGGCUUUCAAAAGGGUUUCUGACAGUACACGUCUGUCUAAAACCGCUUUUUGAGCCUGCUCUCAAAAAGCGGUUUUUUUA